GACGAACGCUGGCGGCGUGCCUAAUACAUGCAAGUCGAACGCUUCACUUCGGUGAAGAGUGGCGAACGGGUGAGUAAUACAUAAGUAACCUGGCAUCUACAGGGGGAUAACUGAUGGAAACGUCAGCUAAGACCGCAUAGGUGUAGAGAUCGCAUGAAGUCGAAACGAAAAGUGAUACGGGACUGGUAGAUGAUGGACUUAUGGCGCAUUAGCUGGUUGGUAGGGUAACGGCCUACCAAGGCGACGAUGCGUAGCCGACCUGAGAGGGUGACCGGCCACACUGGGACUGAGACACGGCCCAGACUCCUACGGGAGGCAGCAGUAGGGAAUUUUCGGCAAUGGGGGAAACCCUGACCGAGCAACGCCGCGUGAAGGAAGAAGUAAUUCGUUAUGUAAACUUCUGUCAUAGAGGAAGAACGGUGGAUAUAGGGAAUGAUAUCCAAGUGACGGUACUCUAUAAGAAAGCCACGGCUAACUACGUGCCAGCCGCCGCAGUAA
rnacentral:rRNA from 1 species